AUUGAACGCUGGCGGCAGGCCUAACACAUGCAAGUCGAGCGGGCGGCGGGCGGGUGAGUAAUGUCCGGGAACCUGCCGGAUGGAGGGGGAUCACUACUGGAGACGGUAGCUCAUACCACAUACCAUCAGAUGUGCCCAGAUGGGAUUGGCGGGUAGGUGGGGUAACGGGUCACAUAGGCGACGACCCCUAGCUGGUCUGGAAGGAUGACAAGCCACACUGGAACGGAGACACGGUCAAGAGUCCUACGGGAGGCAGCAUGGGGGAAUGUUGGACAAUGGGCUCAAGCCUGAUGCAGCCAUGCCGCGUGUGGGAUGAAGGCCUUCGGGUUGUAAAGCACUUUCAGCGGGGAGACGUUACCUGCAUAAGAAGCACCGGCUAACUCCGUGCCAGCCGCCGCGGUAAUUC
rnacentral:rRNA from 1 species